rnacentral:rRNA from 1 species
UGGGAACCUUCCCUAUGGUUCGGAAUAGCUCAGGGAAACUUGGGGUAAUACCGGAUAAGCCCUUCGGGGGAAAGAUUUAUCGACAUUGGAUGGGCCCGCGUCGGAUUAGCUAGUUGGUGAGGUAACGGCUCACCAAGGCAGCGAUCCGUAGCUGGUCUGAGAGGAUGAUCAGCCACACUGGGACUGAGACACGGCCCAGACUCCUACGGGAGCAG